rnacentral:lncRNA from 1 species
UCCAAUGGAGUAACAUCUCAUUCAUUAAGCUUGGUUCCCAUGAAAACAUCUUGAAAACAUUUCAUACAAAAGGAAAACAUUUAGCUUACCACCUUGUGAUCAUGUGCAACAACAAGGGACUAACCAACACUAGGCAAAGCACAACUCUACAACGUAUCUUAUAUCCUUUUCUUAACUUUACUCUAUCACUUUACUACACAUUCUUUCCAUUCAUAACCUUUAUACACAUCAUGUCCUUCUAUCAUGUCCACAACUGUACUUCUUUACACCAAUCUUGCAUAAUAUAUAUAUGCCACUCAAACAACUCUAAGCUAGACGAUUACAUACAAAACACUAGCCACAACAUGACUUCGCCAUCUCUGACUUCUCAUAGCUCACUCUGAAGACUUCUGGUCUCCCACAACUAAGAUUGGCCCUGCAAAACUGGGGAAGGGAAAGGGAUGAACUACUAGAGCCCAGUGAGUAGAAACCAUAUAAACAGUUCAUUCACGCAUUACAUGCUCUCAUGAAAUGUGUCACAGCACAAACAUAUCACAUCUCGGAUUAGACAUGAUCCCAGAACUCCCUCUGUCGGUGCCCGGCCCCUAAGGAGCUCCCAGGUCACUACAUGCACUAGAGCCUGGCCCCUAACUACGAGGCUCCCAAAGGUCUUGUCUAGCCAUAACAGGUAGCGGGCUACUGAGAUCGCCUUGGUCCAUCCCAUCAACAGUAAAGAAUGCAAUGCAAUGCAGCAUAAUCGUGAUCUCUAAUGCGAUACAACCUAGUACCACAUAGCAUUCAUGAUGCGUGUCUCAUGCUCAUACUGUCAUUAGCUUUAAACCUUAACUUUAAAACAUGCAUAGUUAGGUCUACUCACCUGAAGCCUUUGCUCCGCUAUCUCUGGGCCAACUCUCACACUGGAACUAAACACCUCGCCUCAGGUCCGAUCCUACACAGGUGGACUCACAUGAGGUGCCAAACAACUCUCACAUAACUCUAAAAUAUCUCCCCAAAGACCCUCUAAAACAUCAUAAACAUGCAUGGAAAAACAUGCAAAGGAAGGCAAAACAGGGCACCUUCGGUGGCACUUUCGGCGGCCGAAAGUCCUCUCCAGAGACGAAAGUCAGGCAUGUUCGGCGGCAGGUUCAGCGGCCGAAACUCCACUCUAGAGACGAAAGUCCAAACUUUCGGAGGCGAGUUUAGGCGGCCUAUCCCACCUCCUCAAGGGUUCGGCGGCCGAAACUCCUUUCGGCGGCCGAACCUGAGUUCCUCCAGAACCCAGAUUCAUGCACCAACACGCCUCCCUACACCUUCCUACCUUUCUUUACAUGCACACAACCUCUUAAAACCAUGCAUAAACCCCUAAACAUGCAUAAACAACCUUAAACUACAACACACAACAUCACAAAGCCACAUAGAGCACACAUAGGCAUAAAGGGUGCCUAAACCCCCUUCAUGCACAACUCAUGCAAACCAUGCAAUUCUACCCUUUCUCCCCAUAAAACUUGCUUAAAACACUAGCAAACAUAAGGAUCAACACGUACCUCUUGAAGAACUAGAGUUGGUGUGAUCCUAACGUCAAAACAAGGAGAAAC